UGAUAUAAAAUACCUGACCCAAAUAUUCUUAUCAAGGAGAGAGCUUGAUAUUAAAAAUAUCCAUGGGAAAAGCAGGUAAAUUGUCAUAAGGUUGAAUGGGAACACAAUGCUGAGGCAAAAUGAAAGGAGUGGUGAUGGGGAGUAAAAAAAACUUCUCUUAUUCCAGGUGUGGAGUAAAGAGGGAGGAGAUUUGCUGUGGAGAAAUAAAGACAUCUAAAGAAGUGGUGAGAAAGAGAUACUACUAUGGGCACAGUAUAUAGUGCUCAAACCAAAGCAUGAAAGGAAAGCUGACCUCAAAGCCAGGCUGUGGACUGUUCCCCUCCAAGUUACAAAAUGAAGUAAUGGGUUUAAUUUUGCUUUGUUUUCUUUGCUUAAAUAAACAGGAGGAUCAGCAGUGGAACAUUAAAUGCCAUGUAGAAGUGGUGCUGUUGAGCCUUUGGCUGAAGUUUCAUGAUCAGAAGUGAUAUGUCAGAGACUCUGGAUGAGACCAUUCCACUCACUAAAGACAAGGUGCUGGAGAGGAACCACAUCUGUACCAAAGUUGAUAAACUAGAGACAUCCUCUGCCAGCAGCUUACCCCUAUGACCUGCCAGAACUCCACUGAACUGAAGACUUUUUUCCUGUGGACUAUGGUGAAUAUUCAGGUUUGUCUUGAAAAUACGUGUCAAAGGGUCAAGUGAGUUGUUGCUACAGAACUGUUACUGCAGGACAGGGGAUGGCAGCAGGAAACGUUGCUGGAGCUUUCAGGAAGAUUCGGAGCUCGUGCAAUAAACCUUCGGUGCAGAUCUUUGACAUGAUGUUGAGGGAAUGUUUUGAUUGAGCAGAAAUCCCAGGGCAGGGAAAGGAUUAAGGUUAAGGGUGGCUUUGGUGUGUGAGGGACUGGACAGAGAACUGGGAGUUUAGGAAAGCUGCCUGUCUGUCCCUGCUGCGAAAUCCCUGUUCAUUUUGGGGGAGAGCUGAGUGGCUGUGCCCGAGGGUGGAGGGGAGGGGCUGGAAGGAGAGGAGCACUGACAGGGGAAGCGAGGGAAGUGUCCUGUGGCACCAGGGUAGGUCUGUGUGUGAACAGGGCUUCACCAGCACAGCUGUGGCUGUGACACCCCGGCACAGAAGCACCACAGCAGCUGCCGUGCCUGUCUGGGGCUGCCCUCAGCACCCUGGGGGUGACAGGGCACAGCAGCUCCCACCUUCUGCUGCCCAGAGCUGGCAUGUGUCCAAAAACCAUGUCUGUGCCAAAAACUACUGCUCAGUCUCAGCUGCUCCACCCUGCAGAUCUCAGAGUGGAUUUAAGACAGAAAACUCACUUCACUUCUCUUCAGUUCCAGUGAAAUGGCUGAAACAAAGAAGAGUCUUAAUGGUCUUUGUGCUGCUGUGCUCCCAAAGCCCAGGCAGCCUCCUAGUUCCGAGCUCCCACUGGACACAGGGAAUGUCAGUGGCAGCUUGAGCUGCUCCUCUGUGAGCAUAGCAGGAGGGGACCAGAGAUCUGCUACAGAACUUUGUAAUGGCUGUAAAACUUGGGUAACUUCCAGCUCAUAAAGUUACAAUGGUGUGACAUUACACAUGGUGUUAAUUUACACAAAUUGGGGUUAAGGUUCUCCCAGUUUUAUUGGGCUCUUUACCUCUUCUGCUUUUUGACUUCCUCAAAAGUGUGGUUAGCCUCAAAUCUGAGGGGAAUCCGAGCCCAGCCUCAAAUCCACAUUUGAAGAGUAACUGAUUUGAAAUAGUGGAAAGUUUACGGCAAAACUUAAAAUAAACACCCUCCAUCCUUCUUGAUAUUCUGGUAAGAGACUGAUUUUGUGCAAGACCUUUAAUUUAAUCACUGUAUAAAAUGCUAUUUCCUGGAAUUUUCUGGCAAAUGAAGUGCUCCUAGAGAGUUCAUAUUUCAGUUUUAGUAUUCACUGACUACACCCAGGAGUUCAGAAUAUUUAACUACAGAGCUCACUAAUACUAAAUUUACCUUGCCAGAUAUUGAGACAAAUCUGGUGCAGGUUGAUAAAAGGAUACCAAAUUGCUUCUGCCAUUGCUUGAUAGAUAAAGGCUGCUGUACUUUGGGUUCAAGUGUUUUGCAAACACAUUUGUAAAAUCCCUUAAAGCCAAGAUGAAGGACACAGAAUAAAUUCUGAAAUGUCUCAAUCUUCAGCCAGCAGCUGCCUGCAACACAGUGGGAGGAAGGAACACAACCAAGUUUUCUUAGAAAGGACUCAGCUUUUCCAGGACUCCCUGCCUGGAGCUACUGGGAUACAGAUCAAGCCACUGACAGCUCUAAGUGGUCGUUAACAAACUCUCACCUGAUUUACUGAAGUCAUUCUCCAUGAAAUAGUUUGGAAAACCUGCUCACAAAACAAGUUGAGGUUCAAGUUUUCUUUUAAAGCAGAGAAACACAAGGAGCUCUUUUGCUGAUGUAAGUGCCAAAGUGUUUUUCCUGUAUUGUUCUUGAAACAUCUUCUACCUCUGGAGUUCAGAACUGGGAGCCGGACAGUCCAACUUCCACUCCUCUGAGGUAAAAAAGCACAACAAGAGUUGUGUCCCUUCUGUGAGGGGGGAAAGAACAGGACACAUCUAAAUCAUCUCCACCUCCAGGUACCUGUUUUCAGUCAUCACACACAGAGUUAGUCCAACAAAUCCCAGAAAUGCUCAUUGCAGUGUCAGCAGCACAUGGAGCAGAGUCUCAGCUUUGGCUCCCAGGGCCAAGUACAGUUAAACCCACCUGACUGCUCCAGAUCUCUGGGAAAUGGUUUUGCUGCUUAAAGUGUUGGAAAACACAGAAUUAUUCCCUCCUUUACAACAUCAGUGAGAACUGCACAGGUCAGUUUAGUUCUUGUAAAGUAUCAAACAGUAGGAACUGGGAUUUAUGAGUCCCACUCACUGCUCUGAUGAAGAACAGUUUUGUUGUCAUCACAACUGGACUGCCCUCAGUAAAUCCUCAGCUUGCCUUGCUCAGCUGUCUGUUCCCUGCACAUGCCCACAGUGCAGGACUGGCUUGGCCAAACCAAUCCCAUCUUUGAAUAACCUGAUUUUUAGUUUUCCUGCUAUCCAAAUUACUCUUCCUUCCAAGCCAAGCCCAGCCUGUGCUCCUCCCUGUGGGAGUGGUCAGUCUUCCAGCACCACUGCUCUGCUGUCCCUCAGGCCACAGUGCUCCAGACACAGCUCUGGGGAGGGUUUUUAGAGGUGAAAGCAAUUUCCAUUCACUGAGUACAAAGGGAUGGAAAAGGCAAGGAAUUCACAAUUUCCCUAGGAUGGAGAACAAGCAAACCACUACAGUUCUAUUUAUAACUCUGUGUUCUACAACACUGAACAGGAACAACAAAUUUCAGCCCAAGUUGGCUGUGCAGAUUUUCAAUAUCCUUGAAGGACAUCACUCUAUUCAGUAAGUACUAAACAGGCCCCAGCAGGGCUGUGGAGCACUUGGAAAAACAAAGGAGAAAAAAAAAGGAAUGAACACAGCAAGGUGAGAUUUUCUAACCAGGAAUGUAGCAGUUGCAUGUAAUAAAGCAAAUAUUUACAUUAAGCACAAUACAGCAAUUUAUUUAGAUGCUUAAAUGAAGAAUACAAAGGGAAAUAAAGAUCACAAAAUUAUACAUACUACAACAGUGUGUCAUAUAUUAGAUGGUAUAAAUGAAUACAACACCUUGUUGGUGUAAACUAAAGAUAAAACUAAAUAUCCAAACCCAGCACUUUGUCUCAGUGUGCUGCUUCAACACAAUACACUUUUAUACAGAUCUAAAAGGUGUCAAAAUUAGUAGCUGCAAACUUGUUUCUUGCAUGUGAUUUUUCUUUUUUAGCUUAAAAGAUUUCAGAAAAUGGCUCUGAAAUACGUUUGUCAUCAGUUGUCAUGUCAAGGAUAUUCAGAACAAGAAAAUUCUAUAAUACAACAGAGCCCAGAUAUAUUUUUAUGUUGCUGGCCUCUGGUUGGAGAUUGUACAAGGUUAUGUGCAAAAACUAAGUUUGUCAAAAUUCAUACUAGAGCAGUCUCAAGCUUUGCUAGGGAAACUAGAUACAGCAUUUAUUACACAGCAGGGCAACACUAAAAAAGAGAAACAGAUCUAUGAUGGGUACACAAGAACAGUUCCAUAAGCUUCACUUGAAUAGGUCUAAAAGACUGUACAAAUAUACAUUUCAACUAUUCAGAAUGAUACAUGAAAAGUCCAUUUCCCCAGAGUCUGCUAUACAGGUGCACCGGGUCGCGGCCGCGCCGCCGAGAGGGGCAUGUUGGAAAGACACAACUCAACAUGGACAAGGUGAAUAAAGGUUGGAAAUGCAGAUAAAAUAAACCUCUGCUUUUCUCUGUGUGCAUUCUGGAGCCACCAGCAUAUCCAUUUCACAUUAAGUUACUGUGCUCAUCCCAGCCGGAAUUCUCAAGCCAGAGCAGCCAAGAGCAUCCGUCCAGGCCCACUGGGCCAGCAGUGGCCACCCCAGGCCAGGCCGAGCCCUGGGAGCAGUCCCAGCUGGGUGAAGCUGCGCAGUCCCACUGCAGGGGUGUGGGGCAGUGCAGGCCGAUGCCAGGCCGUGCCCGGGCCGCUCACGCCUGCUGGCUGCUCAGCUCCACUCCGGGCAGGCUGCCGUGCAUGGGCUCGGCCACGGCGGCCGCCACGCCCGCGAAGGGCUCCCCGUCCUCGCUGUCCAUCGCGCUGCUCUGCCACUCCAUCUGCUGACUGGACAGGCUCUCCUCCAUCUCCGAUGUGUUCUUCCAUUGCGACUGGUCCUUAGACCAAAACUCUUCUACUUUUCCAUAGGAACGAUUCUUCCACUUUGACUGUUCUUCAUCACUUUCGGAUCCGCCCCCUUUGGCCUCGACAGCUGGUUUACUGCUCCCAGCAUCUUCACUUUGGGAGGAUUCAUCUGUCCACACUUCUGGUUUUACUUCUGAUGUAUUAUCUUCAAAAUCUGAGACCUGCUGGGAACCAGGCCCACUUUCAGACUGGGAAGCUCCAUCCUUCCAUUCCACAGCAUCAUCCUGAUCACCUUCGCUAUCCGAAAUGUCCCCUACCAGUUUUGUUGGUUCUUCAGCAGAAAUAAUCUCUUCAUAUUUAGAGCUUUCCUCUUGUUUUUGGUCAGAUUUCUCUGGAGACUGUAAUGCAUUUUCUUCCACGAUUUCCUUGGAUAUGCUGUCCUCGGGGUUUUCCCCUGUGCCAUCAGAUGUGGGUUUCCCACCAACGUCAGAGAUGCGCUGACCAAAGGGACUACGGCUUUCGUUGUAUUCCUCCUCUAUAUUUUCAUAACUGUCUGAGGAACUCUCAUUGUCUUUUUCUAAGUUGAUUUUUUUAUCAACAGUCUUACUGGCAUUGACUCUGGAGUUCUUUUCAUCGUGGUUUUCGAACAGCCAUUCAGCAUCAAAAUCCAUUUCGUGUUUGACUUUGUUGAGCUCUUUCAUGUUGAAGCCGAGCAGCACCCCGGGUUUGUACUUCUCACAGUCCCGGACACAUUUCUUCCUUUUGUUACUGAAGUGAGAAGCGAUAUCAGAUUUCCAGAGCCACAAACUGGCCGCCAGCUUUUCGAUCUCUCUCCUCGUGGGGUAGGGUUGCUUAUUGAAAUAUUUUGUAAGAAAUGUUUUCCUGGCUUCAUAGGAAUCAUCUUCAUGACCCUUGGGGUCCAGUGCGAGAACUACGGGUUCUUCAGGCUUCUCCUCAAAGCCAGAGGGGGAGUCCUCGUCAUCCAUUUUCCUUUUCUUCAUGAGUGGGAACUCCACGUGCUCGUAGGUGCGUUUCACCGGCGCCACGGCCGGGGACUGGCCGAGCCGGGACGUGCCCUUGUCCUGCCCGUUCUGGGUCUUGCCCACCCCUCUGCAGUGCACCAGGUGCAGCGUUAUGGUCGAGGCCGUCAUGUUACUCGUGUACACCCCGAGGCAGUGGAUGCACUUGUAGGUCAGCUUCUUCUCCACGGGGUGAACCGUCUGGAUCACCUGAUGCCUCUCCCGUAGGUGAUGUGCAAGAGCAUCAGAGAUGGGUCCUUUUAGGAUUGAAAAGCACAGAGGACACAGAGUUUUCCCCACAUCUUUUUUGUACGGCACUGCUGCUUGUGGAGAACUUUUGACGGGUACGUCAGACUUCUCCUGGAUUUUGGGCUGUGGUUUUGGCGGAAUGGGGGGAGUGUUCUGAGCAUGGUAAGCUACGGAUUCAGCGGGAGCAUCUCGCAGGUUGUAGGUGGUUACAAGGAGAUGUAUGUUCGUGUGACCGCCCUGCUGCAAUGUCAAAUCAAAGGUUAGAGUGGAAUCAGUCUUAGGUCCCAUUUCUUCGUCCACGUGAACCAUUCUCAUGUGAGCAGCCAUCUUCUCCACGUCGUUGAAGGUGGAGCGGCAGUAGGGGCAGGACAGGCCGUGGAUCAGCAUGUGGUUGAGCAGCGUGUCGGUGGGCAGGUAGCGGUUACAGUAGAGACAUUUGCUAGUGAAGUUGUGGAUCUUCAUUAUGUAGUUGGCGACCGCAGGCACCUUCUCAGCCUUGUGCUCCUUUUCAAAGUGGACACUGUACACGUUUUCAGGGAACAGCUCGUUGCAGAUUGUACAGAUUUUCCACUUCUGUGUGGAUGAUGUAUUGACAGAAGAAGGACCUGUAGCAGCCACGGGGGAUUUGGAGCCAGACUGGCCCAAAGCCCUGGUCGCUGCCUGUGACUGGGACAACGAGGUCUGUUUGAGCUGCGUCGAGGACAGCGAGGAGGAGUUGGCAGAUUGCAGCGAGUACCUUGCUGAGGCCUGGGACCUCUGCUCCCCUCCAAGGGUGUAAGGCCUUCCAUUCCCACUCGCUGAAAACUGUUUCAUGGUUUGUGAUUGCUGGGAAAGAGAAACGGGCGCGUUUCCACUGAGGCUGAGCCUCCCCCCCGGCUGCCCAACGUAACUCGGGGGCACUGAUUUGACCCCGUAAUUGUUCUGUUGUAGGUGAACAUUUGACAUCAUAUUCACUCCUGUGGAAUUUAACGUAGGCUUUGGUAUAGUGAGUCUGUUCAUCAUCUGCUGUGACGAGAGAGACCGGACACUUCCAGCGGAGAGGGCACCCAUCCUCUGGGGGAGCCCCAUAGGCUUUUUAUCCUGGGGUUUUGGAGCUAUGAGCAUCAAAGGUUUAGACCUUGGAACCACGACAUUAGUGUGACCUAUCAUUGCAGUGACCUGGUAUCCGAUCCGUUCAUGGUCUUCGAUCACGUGCUGCACUAAAGCUUCGUAGGAUUUCGGCAUGAAAAGGCAUCGUUUGCAGUGGAUCCCCCCCUCCUCUCGGGCACCGGAGCUCAAUGGAACCGCACCAUUGAGGGACUUUUCCCCUCCCUUCGCUAUGUAAGGAGCAGCAACGUGCUGAAAAUGUUCCCUGUAAAUGUGCUUUCGAACGAUCUCGUAGAGCGGGUCGCGGUAAGUGCACUUCUUACAGUAAUAAACAGCUUGUUCCACACUGUCA